UGUAGCGAAGUUCCUGAUGUCACACUGCCAAGAAAAGCUUCUAGUGAGAAAGUAACUGCCCGUACCGCAAACCGACACAGGUAGUUGAGGAGAGAAUCCUAAGGUGUGCGAGAGAACUCUCGUUAAGGAACUCGGCAAAAUGACCCCGUAACUUCGGGAGAAGGGGUGCUGACCGCAAGGUCAGCCGCAGUGAAUAGGCCCAAGCGACUGUUUAUCAAAAACACAGGUCUCUGCAAAAUCGAAAGAUGACGUAUAGGGGCUGACGCCUGCCCGGUGCUGGAAGGUUAAGAGGAGAGGUUAGCGCAAGCGAAGCUUUGAAUUGAAGCCCCAGUAAACGGCGGCCGUAACUAUAACGGUCCUAAGGUAGCGAAAUUCCUUGUCGGGUAAGUUCCGACCCGCACGAAAGGCGUAACGAUUUGGGCACUGUCUCAACGAGAGACUCGGUGAAAUUAUAGUACCAGUGAAGAUGCUGGUUACCCGCGACAGGACGGAAAGACCCCAUGGAGCUUUACUGCAGUUUGAUAUUGCGUGUUUGUAUCACAUGUACAGGAUAGGUAGGAGCCGAAGAUACCGGGACGCCAGUCUCGGAGGAGGCAACGGUGGGAUACUACCCUUGUGAUAUGACCACUCUAACCCGCUGCUCUUAGCGAGCAGGGAGACAGUGUCAGACGGGCAGUUUGACUGGGGCGGUUGCCUCCAAAAAUGUAACGGAGGCGCCCAAAGGUUCCCUCAGAAUGGUUGGAAAUCAUUCGUAGAGUGUAAAGGCAGAAGGGAGCUUGACUGCGAGACCUACAAGUCGGGCAGGGACGAAAGUCGGGCUUAGUGAUCCGGUGGUUCCGCAUGGAAGGGCCAUCGCUCAACGGAUAAAAGCUACCCUGGGGAUAACAGGCUUAUCUCCCCCAAGAGUUCACAUCGACGGGGAGGUUUGGCACCUCGAUGUCGGCUCAUCGCAUCCUGGGGCUGUAGUCGGUCCCAAGGGUUGGGCUGUUCGCCCAUUAAAGCGGUACGCGAGCUGGGUUCAGAACGUCGUGAGACAGUUCGGUCCCUAUCCGUCGCGGGCGUUGGAAAUUUGAGAGGAGCUGUCCUUAGUACGAGAGGACCGGGAUGGACACACCGCUGGUGUACCAGUUGUUCUGCCAAGAGCAUCGCUGGGUAGCUAUGUGUGGACGGGAUAAACGCUGAAAGCAUCUAAGUGUGAAGCCCCCCUCAAGAUGAGAUUUCCCAUCACUUUAAGUGAGUAAGACCCCUGAGAGAUGAUCAG
rnacentral:rRNA from 1 species